UACGUAGGGACCAAGCGUUGUUCGGAUUUACUGGGCGUAAAGGGCGCGUAGGCGGCUUAACAAGUCACUUGUGAAAUCUCCGGGCUUAACUCGGAACGGCCAAGUGAAACUGUUAUGCUAGAGUGCAGAAGGGGCAAUCGGAAUUCUCGGUGUAGCGGUGAAAUGCGUAGAUAUCGAGAGGAACACCUGCGGCGAAGGCGGGUAGCUGGGCCGACACUGACGCUGAGGCGCGAAAGCCAGGGGAGCGAACGGG
rnacentral:rRNA from 1 species